AUCCUUCUUCAUUUCAAAAGUGUGAUGACUGGGUACUCAAGUCAUGUGUAAAAGUGUCUCCCUCCGAUCUUGUUACUAUGUCAGCACAUUUUUGUCUUAAA